GGGGCUGUGACGUGGAGUGGACGGCACAUUUGGACAGCGCUAUGGUGGCUAGUCAGACUGCUGGUGCUUUCCACAAAUACCGUAAACACUGGCAUCCCAAGACUUUUGCAAAAUUGCUUUUUUUUUGUUUAAUGUCUAUUAUACAAUACUACAAUAUAUUACUAUUAUAAUAUUAUUAAUUAUAAAUUAACAUACCAUAAUUAUCUCAUUUGAGUCUUUGCAAAGACCAUCCCCCUAGUUACUGUUGCUAUGUCUGACAAGCCAUGGCGCUCUCAUGCCACCAUGUUCUCACGCAGUGAAAAAUACAUUGCGUAGCAAAGAGGACACUGACAAUGCGCCGACAGACAAAACAGAGCAAGUUACUUUAGGUAUGAAACAAAGACUCAGCUUUCAAAUUGUGACAUUUGUAAGAAAUUCAAACAAUAAACAUUGUUUUGUGGCUCUUUAAUGUGUUGUGACAGAUGACUGUAGUGCCUCAUUUAAAGCAACACGUUUACUAGUUAUAGCAUGAAAUAAACACAAAUGAACAUCAGAAAGUAUCUUCUUUCAACCGCGGAAAGACAUCAGUACACUGUUUUUUGAAUUCAAAUCCACCAAUAUUAAUCCACUCUCUUGUCUGAUUUGUUUGUCACACAAAAAUGGCAGAUUUGGCGUUUUGAUUGGUCAGAUCAAACUCCCUGCAGAGAGUCAAUUAAUUGUAUGUUCAAUUUCAUGGUUUAAACUUUUAACAACUAAAUAUGUUAUGUGCGUCACGUGUUUUGUUGUCUAUUAUCUGUUACACUACACUGUCAUCUAAUAUUAAAUCAACCUAUCUUUUUUUUAUGUCAAAUACGUCAUAUUUAGAUCCUGUGAGUUGUGACAUUCAAGAACUGCCAUCAUUUGGACCUUUUCUACAUCAUGACAUGAAGACAGAUCUGCAUACUUGUCAUUGAUUGAUUGAUUCAUCCAUUCAAAGCUAUAACAAGAGGUAAAGAAACUAACUUAAUGAGCAAACAAUAAACUCACCCAUUUUAUUUUACAUUUUUUAACCCUCAUGAUGUGUUCCAUGAGUGGAUUUUCUUUAUUUUUUAUUUUUUCCACAAAAAUGCUAAUUAAUGAAAUUUCAUUGGACUAAAACUCAAUAAACGUACCAAAUUACUAGAAAAUUUUUUUUUAUAAUUUUUGUACUGUUUUAGGAUUUUUCUCCAACCUU
ensembl:lncRNA